CCUACGGGAGGCAGCAGUGGGGAAUAUUGGACAAUGGGCGCAAGCCUGAUCCAGCCAUGCCGCGUGUGUGAAGAAGGCCUUCGGGUUGUAAAGCACUUUUGUCCGGGAAGAAAAGCCAGGGAUUAAUACUCUCGGGUUCUGACGGUACCGGAAGAAUAAGCACCGGCUAACUUUGUGCCAGCAGCCGCGGUAAUACGAAGGGUGCAAGCGUUACUCGGAAUUACUGGGCGUAAAGCGUGCGUAGGUGGUUCGUUAAGUCUGCCGUGAAAGCCCCGGGCUCAACCUGGGAAUGGCGGUGGAUACUGGCGGACUAGAGUGCGGUAGAGGGUGGUGGAAUUCCCGGUGUAGCAGUGAAAUGCGUAGAGAUCGGGAGGAACAUCUGUGGCGAAGGCGGCCACCUGGACCAGCACUGACACUGAGGCACGAAAGCGUGGGGAGCAAACAGGAUUAGAUACCCUGGUAGUCCACGCCCUAAACGAUGCGAACUGGACGUUGGGCUCAACUAGGAGCUCAGUGUCGAAGCUAACGCGUUAAGUUCGCCGCCUGGGGAGUACGGUCGCAAGACUGAAACUCAAAUGAAUUGACGG
rnacentral:rRNA from 1 species